rnacentral:tRNA from 1 species
AGAAAGAGCAAGAAAACAACAAACACUGCUAAUGCUUGUUACCAGGGUUAAACUCCAUGGCUUUCUG